rnacentral:rRNA from 1 species
AUGUUUCCCGUCCAUGAACCCAUGACAUCUCUGAGUUUGGAUCUGGUUCGUAGCCAGCCACACCUGAACUGGACUGUUGAACAGGUAACAGAAUGCAGCUGCUGGUCUCAUUAUCUAGGCCCGGAUCAGGAACAGGACAGAUGGUCGUCGUCGAGACAGGUUAAGGCAAAGUGUCUUGGACAAGACAAAGAUUUCGAGGUUAAACCGUGGCAACAUAUAUGCACUGACAUAUUAUCAGAAGGUGCAGCAGUAGCAGUAGCAGUACUCCAGUCCAGUCCAGUCCAGGAGGACCACACGCAGGCCGACUCUGAAUGA